rnacentral:rRNA from 1 species
AGAGUUUGAUCCUGGCUCAGGAUGAACGCUAGCGGCAGGCUUAACACAUGCAAGUCGAACGGUAACAGGGGUAGCAAUAUCUGCUGACGAGUGGCGCACGGGUGAGUAACACGUUUGCAACUUACCUUUGACUGGGGGAUAGCCCGGAGAAAUUCGGAUUAAUACCCCAUAAUGUUUAUAAGGGUCAUCUUUUAUAAAUUAAAGCUUCGGCGGUCAAAGAUGGGCAUGCGUACCAUUAGCUUGUUGGUGAGGUAAAGGCUCACCAAGGCAACGAUGGUUAGGGGGUCUGAGAGGAUGAUCCCCCACACUGGUACUGAGACGCGGACCAGACUCCUACGGGAGGCAGCAGUGAGGAAUAUUGGGCAAUGGACGAAAGUCUGACCCAGCCAUGCCGCGUGCAGGAUGAAUGCCCUAUGGGUUGUAAACUGCUUUUAUAUGGGAAGAAACCCCCGGACGUGUUCGGGGUUGACGGUACUGUACGAAUAAGCAUCGGCUAACUCCGUGCCAGCAGCCGCGGUAAUACGGAGGAUGCAAGCGUUAUCCGGAUUUAUUGGGUUUAAAGGGUGCGUAGGCGGAAAAUUAAGUCAGUAAUGAAAUCCUACAGCUUAACUGUAGAACUGUUAUUGAUACUGGUUUUCUUGAAUGCAGUUGAGGCAGGCGGAAUGUGUAAUGUAGCGGUGAAAUGCUUAGAUAUUACACAGAACACCGAUUGCGAAGGCAGCUUGCUAAACUGUGAUUGACGCUGAGGCACGAAAGCGUGGGGAGCAAACAGGAUUAGAUACCCUGGUAGUCCACGCUGUAAACGAUGAUCACUCGCUGUUGGCGAUAUAUUGUCAGCGGCUGAGCGAAAGCAUUAAGUGAUCCACCUGGGGAGUACGGUCGCAGGAUUGAAACUCAAAGGAAUUGACGGGGGCCCGCACAAGCGGAGGAACAUGUGGUUUAAUUCGAUGAUACGCGAGGAACCUUACCUGGGCUUGAAUGCAUGUUGACAGACCGGGAAACUGGUCUUUCUUCGGACAACUUGCAAGGUGCUGCAUGGUUGUCGUCAGCUCGUGCCGUGAGGUGUCGGGUUAAGUCCCAUAACGAGCGCAACCCUUAUCGUUAGUUGCCAGCGAUUCGGUCUGGGACUCUAGAGAUACUGCCCCGGUUAACGGGGAGGAAGGUGGGGGUGACGUCAAGUCCUCAUGGCCUUUAUAUCCAGGGCUACACACGUGCUACAAUGGUUGGUACAAAGGGGAGCGAGCCUGCGAAGGUAAGCCAAUC